rnacentral:tRNA from 1 species
GAGGUUGUGGCUCAGUGGUAGAGUGUUUUCCUGGCAUGUGUGAGGCACUGAGUUCGAUUCUCAGCACCACA